UUAUAUUUAAUUAAUUUGUUUUCUCUGGUUACAUCAAAUAGGAAGGAAACGUUCUACUCCCUGGAGCUUGAGACUGGAAUGAGAAGUGUUGAAGAAGAGGGUCGAAUGGUGGUCUGAGGACUAAGAGGGAAGCCUUGUGUCAUUGGAUGAAAGAUGUCUGUGGUCCUACGGAAGCUGAGGUGGAGGCCCGUGGACAACGGAUCAGGGAUGAGUUUAAGCCGGCAGUCAAAAUUGAGGAGCGAAUUACUGUCUACCGACAACUUGUGAGACUACCCCCACAAAGCAACUCGGAAGAUUCAUGUGACCGCAUCCAAUAGAAGGAAGGAGACCAGUGAAUAUUCUCAGGUGAUUUCCUUUUGUAUUUGUUUGAGAUCAUUUUUAAUAUUAUCAUUGUCUAAUUCUCAUUUUCAUUUUGUGUUGCAGUUUUUGUCGGCAGUUGAAUUGGAGGGGUGCAUUUCUGUAUACGGACAACCUGUCAGGCCAACUCGGAAGAGCGUUGUGACUGCAUGCUUUAGAAGGAACAAAGACUGAAUAUUCCCAGGAUUUCAGUGGAGGGGCCGAUUACC